UUUUUAUACAGAGACGCGGAGAGAAAGGCUCUACGAUGCGUCGGCAACCUCCGCUAAUGGCCGGAACGGUGCCCAACCGAAGGUCAGAGAAGCUACUUCCUGACAAUAUAAAAA
rnacentral:ncRNA from 2 species